AUCCAAUUCGUCUUGACACCUCCGACUUCUCUUGGGAUUCCGUGGCGUAUGCCGUCUAACAGCAGUCGGCAUGGCUGCGAAUAACGAUGAGGUAGCGUGACGUCGGUUUAUGCCACAACCAGAUCGCGACCUGCACAAAAGAGGCGUUUAUGCGAAAACCAGAUCUACCGAUGGCACGAGUAGAGGGACAGCCGUUGACUCCGUCGCAUCGGCGCGUUAACAAAGAGCACACGUUUCUGCAUCGACAAUGAUGGCGUUGGAGAGCAAAAACAGGCAAGAGGGGAACGCGAGGGAGUGAAGAAAGGGCGAGACGAGGAAGAGGAUUGUCGCCGUUCGAGAUCCACGCGAGAGCGCCAUUCUGGGCCCGGGUGGUCCCCCGUCAAUCUGCUGUUCAUACUGCUUUCGGCACAAAUAUCCUUCGAGGAUGUACUGGUUCCCACCUCCUCACGCUUUUUACUUUCUUUCGACGAUGCACGUAACAGGCCGUCUUUUCCCGGCUCGUUAUUUCGCGAGAGUAACGCGAAAAAGGAUAAGCAAAAUAUACACGUAAAGCGACAGGGAUUAAUGCGUUCGUGAAGACGUAAAAUAAGUCACUUUUAUCGAGCGUUCUUAGAAAUUGUUAGUGUUUUAUUAAUCUGAUUUGUUAAUAAAUCUACAAUAAAUAAAAAAAAAAUUAUUGAAUUGCGUGGGAACAAACAAGGAGCAAAAAUAGAAAACCCCUAUUUUAUCAGAGAUAAAGUAGCAAGGAAAGCUAGCAUCUAAGAGGAGACCGAAAAUCAGUGAAGUGCAAUGUUGCAAGGGAUUCAUACACGGUGAGAUCUCUUGGGAAGGAAGGAAGACCAAGAUCUCGUAAACCAGAAGAUUAGGAUCUGAGGCGACGGCCACCCACUCCGAGUUCGCUCAUUUUCGCUCCUUUUCUUCUGCCUCCCGUUAUCCCGAGUUCUAUCUCUCUUUUCCUCGUUCUGGGGCAUUCCCGUGUUUGUUGGUCACCUUAAACUGCCGUCUCUGCAUAGCGACAAUUAACCGUAAAACGUCAAGAACCUUAUUUAUUUUCUUCCUCACUAGUCACGUGCAGCAUCCAAGCGGUAGAUACGAGGACUGUUCUCUUCUUGGAAUUGUUAUUAAAUCUGUUCGAGAAAUUGUCAUUACAGAACCCGUGAACUUCAUGAAAUUAUAAAAACGUUAGAUUUUCAUCAAGUUGAGAAAAGCCUCCUUUCUUUCGUGAAUGCAAAAAAGAAAAGUUAUCUGAAUUAUAG